rnacentral:rRNA from 1 species
GACGAACGCUGGCGGCGUGCCUAAUACAUGCAAGUCGAACGCUGAAGAGAGGAGUUUGCUCUUCAUGGAUGAGUCGCGAACGGGUGAGUAACGCGUAGGUAACCUGCCUUGUAGCGGGGGCUAACUAUUGGAAACGAUAGCUAAUACCGCAUAACAAUGGAUGACACAUGUCAUUUCUUUGAAAGGGGCAAUUGCUCCACUACAAGAUGGACCUGCGUUGUAUUGGCUAGUAGGUGAGUUAAUGGAUCACCUAGGCAACGAUCCAUAGCCGACCUGAGAGGGUGAUCGGCUACACGGGGACUGUGGCACGGCCCAGACGCCUACGGUAGGCAGCAGUAGGGAAUCUUCGGCAAUGGGGGCAACCCUGACCGAGCAACGCCGCGUGAGUGAAGAAGGUUUUCGGAUCGUAAAGCUCUGUUGUAAGUCAAGAACGGGUGUGGGAGUGGAAAGUUCACACUGUGACGGUUGCUUACCAGAAAGGGACGGCUAACUUCGUG